rnacentral:snoRNA from 14 species
GGCAAGGAUGAUUACUGCUUAAUUUCUGACACCUCUUGUAUGAGAAGAGCUUGAUAAACUCUUCCUUGAGCACAUUAUGCAAAUACUCUGAGCC